AUAUUAGUCAAUGCUCGCAAGAGUGAACUAGCUAACUGAAAUCAUAUUUGUGACAAAUGUGAUGUCGUAAGGGAAAAUAAUGAUAUUACCUUACUAAUAGUGUCGUCUAAAACUGGUGCCAGAAGACUCGGUAAGGCCAGAGACACAAAUGUUAAUCGUCUUAAUCAGGCGUAAAGGGUUUGUAGGCUGCUUUGAAAAUAUUAAUUUAAUAUAGCGAUUUCUUCACUUAGGCUUUGCCAAUGCGCUUAUAUUUAAUAUAAGAGCAAUACAAAGCUAAUAAAGGAAGGGAGAGUAAAUUACUAUCAAUUAAAGCUAGAAUCAAAUAGAGGAUAUUUACGAAAUAAUGCUUGGUUGAGGGCUGAUAUCCGAAGACACCAAGUGGAGUACCAAUGGCGUAAGCAUUUAUCCAUUAAUGAUUGACGCUGAGAAACGAAGGUGAGGAUAGGAAAUAGGAUUAGAUACCCAGAUACCCCUCUCUGUCAACGAUGAAUGGUAGUUUGUUAGUCUAAAAUGACUAGUGACGAAGUUAACACGUUAACCAUUCCGCCUUGUGAGUACGACUGCAAAGUUGAAAACAAAAAAAUUAGUCGGUCUCGGAGCAAACGAAGUGAAGUAUGUUAUU
rnacentral:rRNA from 1 species